rnacentral:piRNA from 1 species
GCUCACCCAUAGUAUCCCUAGGGUCACUGGC